rnacentral:rRNA from 1 species
UGGGGAAUAUUGCACAAUGGGCGAAAGCCUGAUGCAGCAACGCCGCGUGAGGGACGACGGCCUUCGGGUUGUAAACCUCUUUUAGCAGGGAAGCGGUACCUGCAGAAAAGCACCGGCUAACUACGUGCCAGCAGCCGCGGUAAUACGUAGGGUGCAAGCGUUAUCCGGAAUUAUUGGGCGUAAAGAGCUCGUAGGCGGUCUGUCGCGUCUGCUGUGAAACCCGAGGCUCAACCUCGGGCCUGCAGUGGGUACGGGCAGACUAGAGUGCGGUAGGGGAGAUUGGAAUUCCUGGUGUAGCGGUGGAAUGCGCAGAUAUCAGGAGGAACACCGAUGGCGAAGGCAGAUCUCUGGGCGUAACUGACGC